AGAUGAGAAAAAGGAAAAAGAAGAGAAAAAGGAAGAGGAACAAAGAAACGUUAUCCUGUAAAGGGAAAAGAUAAUUUAGUUAUAAUGACACGGGAACGAAUCUUUUGUAUAAGAUAAUUUCGAACACUUUUACUUCUUGAAAUUUCAUAUUAAGCGACAGA
rnacentral:lncRNA from 1 species